UGGUGGAGUGAUCUGUCUGGCUAAUCCCGAUAACGAACGAGACCUCAGCCUGCUAAAUAGUCCAGAGGGUGAUACUAACCAGGAGAGUUGGGUGGGCUGCGAAUCCGGCUUCGGUUGGGCGCGUAUGCACUGCCCCCUUCGGCAUUACCCUUUGCCGACUUCUUAGAGGGACAAUUGGUGUAUCCUAGCCAAAGGAAGCUUGAGGUAAUAACA
rnacentral:rRNA from 1 species